UUGUUCGGAAUUACUGGGCGUAAAGGGCUCGUAGGCGGCCAACUAAGUCAGACGUGAAAUCCCUCGGCUUAACCGGGGAACUGCGUCUGAUACUGGAUGGCUUGAAUCCGGGAGAGGGAUGCGGAAUUCCAGGUGUAGCGGUGAAAUGCGUAGAUAUCUGGAGGAACACCGGUGGCGAAGGCGGCAUCCUGGACCGGCACUGACACUGAGGAGCGAAAGCCAGGGGAGCAAACGGG
rnacentral:rRNA from 1 species